rnacentral:rRNA from 1 species
ACGGAGGAUGCGAGCGUUAUCCGGAUUUAUUGGGUUUAAAGGGUGCGUAGGCGGACUUUUAAGUCAGCUGUGAAAGUUUGCGGCUCAACCGUAAAAUUGCAGUUGAUACUGUUAGUCUUGAGUAUGUUUGAGGAAGGCGGAAUUCGUGGUGUAGCGGUGAAAUGCUUAGAUAUCACGAAGAACUCCGAUUGCGUAGGCAGCUUUCCAGACCAUAACUGACGCUGAGGCACGAAAGUGUGGGUAUCAAACAG